rnacentral:rRNA from 1 species
GACGAACGCUGGCGGCGUGCCUAAUACAUGCAAGUCGAACGCUUCUUUCCUCCCGAGUGCUUGCACUCAAUUGGAAAGAGGAGUGGCGGACGGGUGAGUAACACGUGGGUAACCUACCCAUCAGAGGGGGAUAACACUUGGAAACAGGUGCUAAUACCGCAUAACAGUUUAUGCCGCAUGGCAUAAGAGUGAAAGGCGCUUUCGGGUGUCGUUGAUGGAUGGACCCGCGGUGCAUUAGCUAGUUGGUGAGGUAACGGCUCACCAAGGCCACGAUGCAUAGCCGACCUGAGAGGGUGAUCGGCCACACUGGGACUGAGACACGGCCCAGACUCCUACGGGAGGCAGCAGUAGGGAAUCUUCGGCAAAGGACGAAAGUCUGACCGAGCAACGCCGCGUGAGUGAAGAAGGUGUUCGGAUCGUAAAACUCUGUUGUUAGAGAAGAACAAGGACGUUAGUAACUGAACGUCCCCUGACGGUAUCUAACCAGAAAGCCACGGCUAACUACGUG